ensembl:lncRNA
UCUACUAUGAUUUAUUUAAGAUUUGUCAAAUGAGCAUAAACUGCAACUAAAUCGCUGUUGAGGUAUGAUCAAUUGUGUGACACAUAUCCACCCACACACACACAGAGACAGACAGACAGACAGACUGGUGAGGGAAUGACUGUUUAUCGCAGUUGUCUCUCGGAUGUUCUACAACCUUAAAUAUAACUAUAUACCAUUAAAAUGCAUGACAUAUUGUGCAUUAAGAAAUUACACAUUGUAAUCUUUGCCUAACUGCAAGAUCUGUCGUGUGUUAUUACUUAUAUAACAGCAGCUCAGUCGGCAGCUGGCAAUCUGCAAGACAAAUCAUAUUGUAUUAAUGUGCUCAUUUGAUGUCAUGUUUACUACACUAAUAGCAAAUUCACAGGGACAUCUACAGUUAAAAGGACAAUUUGCUGUUAUUUAACAAAAAAAAAAAGAACAUACAAGGGUGAGUCAAAUGAAAACUUUAAAAGUGAACGGAAACAUUACAUUAUAUUUGUCACUGCAAAAGUAAAAUGUACUACAGGUCCAUUGUUCUCAAUAGCCCUUCUACUGCUACCCUAAAACUGAUACACAUUUGUAACACCUAUUAGCAAAGAAACUAAAAAUAAAUCAAACAAAUUAAGGUUGUUGAUGCUGUGUGUAUUUAUUUAUUUAUUUAUUUAUUUAUUAGCAUUUAUGUAAGGCAUCUCCGGUGUCUUUGUGUUCAUUCAGCCAUAAUAGCAUUAGUGAGGUCAGGCACUGAUGUUGGGUGUGGAGGUGAUGUCUGGUGAGCAGUCUGCAUUCCAAUUCAUCCCAAAGGUGUUCAGUAGGGUUGAGGUCAGGGCAAACUUGGCAAACCCAGUCUUCACAGAGCUUGCUUUGUGCACAUUGUCAUGCUGGAACAGGUUUGGGCCUCUUAGUUCCAGGGAAGGGAAAUUGUAAUGCUACAGCAUUCAAAAACUUUUUAUACGAUUGUGUGCUUCCAACUUUGUGGCAACAGUCUGGGGAAGAACCAUAUUUAUGUGUGAUGGUCAGGUGUCCGCAUACUUUUGGCUGUUUAUUGUAGUUUAGGUGGAAACUAUUGAGAUUAUACAGCUGUAUGUGUUGCUAAGUGUUUUAUCUUGAUCAGGGUCGGAGUAAAUCCAGAGCCUAUCCAGGGAACUCUGGGGAUAAAAGGGAAAUACCUGUAAGGAAUAAAAUGAUAAGGAUGUGUGAUGUGGCCAAACGUGAAGCAGAGUUACUUUUACCAUCCAAGAGUUAACAGCAUAUCCUGAAGUGUUUUAUUUCUCUUACACACAGCAAUUUGCUAACAGUUGCAAUCUUUUAUUAAUUACAGUACAAGAAGUGAUACUUUUGAUCUAUUUACUCUGUAGUUAUAUUUAAUGUUGUGAUACAUCUGUGAAACAAGCAGCUAUAAAACAUUCCCUUACCAGCAUCUCCUUUUUUCCCCUCUUGAAGUUAAGACAGAUUGUCAAGUUACCAAGAAACCUCCACCGUGAAGACAUUUCCUAUUUCUGAAAAUUUACUGACUGACACAAAGUGCUGACACUGGAGACUCCCAUCCAGAAACUUUUUUUUUUUUCUGAAAGCAUCACCAUAUAAAUGAUUAGAUGUGUUUCUUUGUUAAACACAUAAUUUAUUAUCUUUUAUUAUUAGUUAGAUUAUUUGGUGUGUCUGCCGUACAAGUCCCUGUGAAUUAGUUGCUACUAUAGAAAUGAUAAUGUAUUAGAAUGAGCAGAUUCAUUUAAACCUGAUAUGAAUUACAGCCAGGACUACUAUGCUUUCUGACCAAUCAUAGUCGAGAAUUCAACAGCACUGUGAAAUAAUACCUAUAAAAUUAAAGUGCAGACCAUUUACCAUUUACCAUGUACCACAAAUGACUUAUAUUGACAAGAUAUGUAAAUAUUACAGAGUAUGUACCUUGUGAAUCCUGAUAUUGUGACAAAGACAACUGUGUGGAUCAGAUUGGUGGCGAUGAUAAAUUGACAAAUGACGUCACUCUUUAAGCUUUAAAUUAAUUACAUAAGGACUCAUAUCACCAAGAGUUAGGGAAAAGGUCAAUGAGCUGAUAACUGGUUCGUGGUUAAAAAAAGAAGAUUUAUAUAUAUAUAUAUAUAUAUAUAUAUAUAUAUAUAUAUAUAUAUAUAUAUAUAUAUAGUACUUUCUAUAUAUAGGAGGUAUUUGUCCUUUUCUUUUUCAACUUCAAAAAAGUUCAAGGUCCAAAAUAAUUAUUGCUGUUUAUUAUUAUGGCUGUAUCUUUGGAUUCAAGAGAAAAUAAGUGAAUAGAACCAGUUUUUGUGUCCAUCUUAAGUUAAGGUAAAAUGAAAACUCUAGUAUAUCUGGCUUGUAAGACUGAUUGAAAAAUUGUGAGCAGCAGUAACAAUUUGACUCCAUUACUUCACUUGAUUGUAAAAACAAAAAACAAAAUGUUGACAACAACAACAACAACAACAACAAACCGUCAAAGCUGUUCUUUUCCCAUAUUCACCUAUUUCUGGUUCCUUACAGUUAGAAGAAGUCUCAUAAAAAAUAUUUAAAAAGGUCUUUCAGUUAAUUAGAUUUGAUUUUUUAAAUUAAUUAAUGAAAAGUAAUUCAUAAUUACUAUAUAUUUAAUCACAGGGAUCAUUAAAUGCCAUGCAAAUGCACAUAAAUGCACAAUAAAUAUUAUUAACCAUUUUAUGUGAUUUUAAUUUCUUUGUAAGUAUAUAAAGGACACCAUGCACACAAACCCGUAGCUGAAUGAAUUAUUUCAGGAUUAUUUUUAAUGUGUAAGUUUAAGUUAAUUUCGAGAAAGUAAUCACUUCAAUUGGCACAGCAACAUCUCCUCUUCCUGUUUAUACAUGUUAAGCUACUUUAUGUUUGGCACUCACUGAGUUAAUUUUAUAGAAAUAAAUGACAUUUAAUAAUGGUAACAGCAGACAAAGUAGAUCAGGGAAACCUUUAGCUCAGCAAUUAAAGCAAUGUAUGAGAUUAGCUACAGUGUAACUGAUAAACAUUUGAUAAGAUACUCAACCUCAGCGAUGGCUUCUGUGGCUUACCGAGAUAAUGCCAGACCAAAGGUUUAACACUUUAUCACACUGUCUCUCUCACACACCCACCCACACACACACACACACACACACACAGAGGCUACAUUUUUCUGGUCUACUGAAGCUUUGAUUAAGAUUACAUUUUGUUCUGUCUUUUUUUGUGUGUGUGUCCAAAAUAACUACUUAAAGAAUAUUUCUUCUUAGCCAACCCAAUAUCAGUGUUUUCUGUAUGUCAUGGUAUCCGAUUUUUUCUAUCUUUAAAGAAGGCAUUCAUUGUAAACUCUCACAGAACACCCUUAUAACUGAUCUCCGAAAUGGCCUUUCAGAACUUUUAACACAUCUUUGAUGAUCACACUUACACCCAGGCCUUCACAUGUGAAUCCCUCAUUACAUGAUAAAACAAAAAGGGCUGAUGGUGGAGUUAAUAGCUCUGGUCACUCGUUCACUCAGCAUGUCGCUGGAGACAGCUGGCUCGAUGGCCCCAUCAAUAAAAGAUCAAUCGGCUGAAUUGGUCUUGUAGCACGUAGGCUUGACAAAAGAAACAAGCACCCUGAGCCUGAGAUGCUAAAUAGCUCCUGCAGACCAAAAACAGGAUUGUCAUUGUAUUUCACAUACAUAAAUUCAGUCCAUUUGUACACAUGAAAAUUUGCAUCUUGAAAACUUGUUUGGUAAGCAAUGUACAAG